CCUACGGGAGGCAGCAGUGAGGAAUAUUGGUCAAUGGUCGGGAGACUGAACCAGCCAAGCCGCGUGAGGGAGGAAGGUACAGAGUAUCGUAAACCUCUUUUGUCAGGGAACAAAGACUGGGACGCGUCCCCGGAUGAGUGUACCUGAUGAAAAAGCAUCGGCUAACCCCGUGCCCGCAGCCGCGGUAGUACGGAGGAUGCGAGCGUUAUCCGGAUUUAUGGGGUUAAAGGGGUGCGCAGGCGGUCUGUUUAGUCAGCGGUCAAGGCCCGGGGCUCAACCCCGACCCGCCGUUGAAACUGGCAGUCUCGAGUGGGAGCGAAGUAUGCGGAAUGCGCGGUGUAGCGGUGAAAUGCAUAGAUAUCGCGCAGAACUCCGAUUGCGAAGGCAGCAUGCCGGCUCCACACUGACGCUGAGGCACGAAAGCGUGGGUAUCGAACAGGAUUAGAUACCCCUGUAGUC
rnacentral:rRNA from 1 species